rnacentral:rRNA from 1 species
UACGGAGGGUGCAAGCGUUAUCCGGAUUCACUGGGUUUAAAGGGUGCGUAGGAGGGCAGGUAAGUCAGUGGUGAAAUCUCCAAGCUUAACUUGGAAACUGCCGUUGAUACUAUCAGUCUUGAAUACUGUGGAGGUCAGCGGAAUAUGUCAUGUAGCGGUGAAAUGCUUAGAUAUGACAUAGAACACCAAUUGCGAAGGCAGCUGGCUACACAAAUAUUGACACUGAGGCACGAAAGCGUGGGGAUCAAACAGG